rnacentral:rRNA from 1 species
UCAAGCUGAAGACUUUACCAGACAAGCUGAGAGGUGGUGCAUGCCCGUCGCCAGCUCGUGCCGUGAGAUGUCCUGUUAAGUCAGGUAACGAGCGAGAUCCCUGCCUCUAGUUGCCACCAUUACUCUCAGGAGUAGUGGGGCGAAUUAGCGGGACCGCCGCAGUUAAUGCGGAGGAAGGAAGGGGCCACGGCAGGUCAGUAUGCCCCGAAACUCUGGGGCCACACGCGGGCUGCAAUGGUAAUGACAGUGGGUCCCGAAUCCGAAAGGAGGAGGUAAUCCUCAAACAUUACCACAGUUAUGACUGAGGGCUGCAACUCGCCCUCACGAAUAUGGAAUCCCUAGUAACUGCGUGUCAUUAUCGCGCGGUGAAUACGUCCCUGCUCCUUGCACACACCGCCCGUCGUUUCAUUGAAGUGAGCUUUUAGGCGAGGUGACGUCUGAUUUGGCGUUAUCGAACU